rnacentral:rRNA from 1 species
GAUGAACGCUGGCGGCGUGCCUAAUACAUGCAAGUCGAGCGGACAGACGAGGAGCUUGCUCCUCUGACGUUAGCGGCGGACGGGUGAGUAACGCGUGGAUAACCUACCUAUAAGUGGGGGAUAACUUCGGGAAACCGGAGCUAAUACCGGAUAAUAUAUUGAACCGCGUUGGUCGAUAGUGAGAUACGGCGGUGCGGGAACGUAUAGAUGGUUCCGCGCCGCAUUAGCUAGUUGGUAAGGUAACGGCUUACCAAGGCAACGAUGCGUAGCCGACCUGAGAGGGUGAUCGGCCACACUGGAACUGAGACACGGUCCAGACUCCUACGGGAGGCAGCAGUAGGGAAUCUUCCGCAAUGGGCGAAAGCCUGACGGAGCAACGCCGCGUGAGUGAUGAAGGUCUUCGGAUCGUAAAACUCUGUUAUUAGGGAAGAACAAAUGUGUAAGUAACUAUGCACGUCUUGACGGUACCUAAUCAGAAAGCCACGGCUAACUACGUG